GCCUCAGUGCUCUCAGCCUGUGCUACCAUGCUUUGUGACCUUGAUCAGUGGCUGGCCUGCUCUGAGCCAGUCCCCAGGAAGGAGGGGUGAGGUUUGCCAGCCUGGCUGAUGUAAGGACUUCCCUUCCAGUCCUCUGUGAAGUUGCGGCUGCUCUGCAGCCAGGUACUAAAGGAGCUGCUGGGACAGGGGAUUGAUGAUCCAGGCUGUAGGUGAGGGGCUGGUGAGCAG
rnacentral:lncRNA from 1 species